ACUCGAGUGGCGAACGGGUGAGUAACGCGUGGGUGAUCUGCCCUGCACUUCGGGAUAAGCCUGGGAAACUGGGUCUAAUACCGGAUAGGAGCCAUUUUUAGUGUGAUGGUUGGAAAGUUUUUCGGUGUAGGAUGAGCUCGCGGCCUAUCAGCUUGUUGGUGGGGUAAUGGCCUACCAAGGCGGCGACGGGUAGCCGGCCUGAGAGGGUGGACGGCCACAUUGGGACUGAGAUACGGCCCAG
rnacentral:rRNA from 1 species